rnacentral:rRNA from 1 species
UACGUAGGGGGCAAGCGUUGUCCGGAUUUAUUGGGCGUAAAGAGCGUGUAGGCGGCCAGACAGGUCUGCUGUGAAAACUCGAGGCUCAACCUCGAGAUGUCGGCGGAAACCGUCUGGCUAGAGUCCGGAAGAGGAGAGUGGAAUUCCUGGUGUAGCGGUGAAAUGCGCAGAUAUCAGGAAGAACACCUAUGGCGAAGGCGGGUCUCUGGGCCGAUACUGACGCUGAGGAGCGAAAGCAUGGGUAGCGAACAGG